rnacentral:lncRNA from 1 species
AAUUUCAUGUAAUACAAUUUGUUUUCUUUUAAAUUGGCUGCUCUCUUUGUCAAAUUGCAAGGAAAGAAACCAUGACUCCUUGUUCUUAUGCUAAAGAGAUGAUAUCUAAAGGAAGCUUCAUAAAUGAAAGGUACUUGCUAAUCUUGUAUUUGAUAAACAUGUUCACACAAGAAAAAAUGCUUUAUUUCAUUAGAAGACAACUGUUAUUCAUGCAAUAGUACUAAUGUAUUAUGACACUAAAUUACCAAAGACUAUAUCUCUAAACAUCUUUAAAACUGUAUGGGUGUAUAACACUGAUUUCCUGUUCAAAUUGCAGUCACAGAGGUGUUUAAGUGAUAUAGAUAUGAUAUCCAGGUGAUCUUUUUAUUUCAAAUCUUUGGAGAUGUAAAUGAAAGAUUAUGAUACAUUAGAUAAGAGGUUGAAGGUAGCAGAAAGAAAAAUUGAACAAUUGUGGUAUUUAAGGAAAAGAAGGUGUGUGUGUGUGUGUGUGUGUGUGUGUGUGUGAGAGAGAGAGAGAGAGAGAGAGAAAGAUUCCUUAAUCUAUCUCCAUACAUGUAAAAAAGGACUGAAAUAUCUUUGCUGCAUAUGGAAACAGAUAAGAAUAUGCCUAGCAGGCAUUUUGGGAACAUCUGUCAAUUUUUUAUAGAACAUACUGAUUGUGGGCUAUUGAUUUCAUUUAAACAAAGUUGUUGCAAAAAAAAAUCAGCUAACAAUUCGUGUAGAAAGGGCCAAUCAAUAUUUAAAUGACUCACUUUAUUGAUUUAAAAUUAACUUUCAAUUAAGAGAUCCAUAGGACUCUUAACUGCGACACUUAUCCAUUCAAGAGAAAAUAAAGGUACAUUUAUCGAUACACUUAAACAGCAGUGGCUGGUUUCCUAUCGAUUCAGUCAUUUGCGCUGGGAUUCGUUAGCGUCAUCAGCCUUUAACUCGCUUACUAGGUCUUCGCAGUGUACAAUACUGCAAGAUGUAGGAAUGCGCAAAACAACACAAAGAAAGGAUAGAAAUUUAAACAGAAUUAAAAGAUAUAGAAAAAGGCUUACUUACUCCAUAAUUUCAGAAAGGUUUCAUAUCACUUUAGCCAAAUCGUGGCUAAGAUGGACACAAACAAUUACAGGAAUUAGUGCUACAGGGUGUAAAAUUGGUCUUCUUAUGGAAGAGGUGCAUUCAUUUCAUUCUGGAAUUCCCUGCUGAGAGAUGAUGCGUGCAAACUAUCUAAGGACACUGUAAUCCUCUGAUGCUUAUAUAUAAAAAAAAGUAAAGUUGCAUGUAAUCUUCAGCUAAAAAAAAUGUAAGUGUUGUUCAUUCCCAGGACAAAUGCCAAGUAUUGUCUGCUGAGCUCAAAUGAUGAUUCUUGUUCUGUAGAUAAAAGGCCAGAAACUUAUGAAAAUCAUGUUUAUCUACCUCAGUGGAAGUAAACAUAAUAGCUUUAAGCUUCGUAUCAAAAAAAGCAGAACGACUAUGUAUCUUGAGUGAGUGAAUUCUAAAUUGAGUAGGCCUGAGAAAUCUGAUUUCAUUUCAAUGCUUUUCUUCCUUUAUCCUUUAUAACAUUUUCAUUGUAAAUAUUAUAGCUAAAGUGAAUAUCCCUUAAUAAAGUCAGGAACUGUUGUCUGUAAAAUAUGGGAAAUAAAUUUGGUCAUGUGCCAUAUGCCAUUUGAUUAACUGUGCAAAAUGGAAUAACAGUAAACUACAGCACAUAGAGGUCACAUGAGGGAUUUUUAACUUCUUGUUCCACCACAGAAAAUCAGGCAGCAUUAGGCACAAGGCCUAUUUUCUUACCCUUGCACAUUACUGAUUAGUUCAGCCUUAGUAGAACAGAAAUCCUUAAUCUUCUCUUUUUAAUAUUAAAGAGGUAAACCCGUUUUACCUGCAUGUGGAGGCUGCCUUUUCAUCAAAGCUCAGGAGAUUCCAGCAACAAAAUCAAUGUAUGCAUGUUCAGAGCAGUUUUCAGGGUUUUGUAAGACAAAUCUCUCAAAUGGGGGCUAGUUUAAUGCUAUUGAGCCAGGCUUCGAUCUGACCGAGUGAGCGAACAACUUAGCAACAGUUCACUUUCCAGGGCUCAUGCUACGGGAGGGAGAACCUUUCUCCACAAAUGCAGCUGUGGAAUUUUCUAGUGACCUCUCACCUCUCCUAAUCCAACUUUAAACCUUCCAGUGGACUGGUUAAAUAAAUAAAUAUUUAAAAGUAACCCCAAAUCAGCAAACAUAAUUAAUUAAUUUCUCUUUCUUACGUUAAUAUACUACCCUGGGAGAAGUUUCUACACUGAUGGAGAGCUUUCAGAGAGCCAGGACAAGUUCUGAAAAUCAGGAUUCCUUUUAAAAGGGAUACUAUUUGAAAAAGCCAAUGAGCAUGCUAAUUUCUCUCCCUUUUCUUUAGGAUAUAGAUUUGUCUAUUGAGUUAAGAAAGGAAAUUUGUUUUAAAUGGGAGUAUUUCUCUCCUGGUAUUUAUGGUGCUCUCUAAGAAAGCUUUGAUUCUUCAAUAGUUUCACUCUCCUGUCUUUACAAAUAUUCAAUGAAUA